GCUCCAGUGGCCUAGUGGUUAGAGCGUCCGCCUCGGAUGUGGGAAGCCGCGGGUUCGAAGUCCGGUCGAAUCA